UACGUAGGGAGCAAGCGUUGUUCGGAUUUACUGGGCGUAAAGGGCGCGUAGGCGGCGCGGUAAGUCACUUGUGAAAUCUCUGAGCUUAACUCAGAACGGCCAAGUGAUACUGCAGUGCUAGAGUGCAGAAAGGGCAAUCGGAAUUCUUGGUGUAGCGGUGAAAUGCGUAGAUAUCAAGAGGAACACCUGAGGCGAAGGCGGGUUGCUAGGCUGACACUGACGCUGAGGCGCGAAAGCCAGGGGAGCGAACGGG
rnacentral:rRNA from 1 species